GAUGAACGCUGGCGGCGUGCCUAAUACAUGCAAGUCGAGCGAACAGACGAGGGGCUUGCUCCUCUGACGUUAGCGGCGGACGGGUGAGUAACACGUGGAUAACCUACCUAUAAGACUGGGAUAACUUCGGGAAACCGGAGCUAAUACCGGAUAAUAUAUUGAACCGCAUGGUUCAAUAGUGAAAGACGGUUUUGCUGUCACUUAUAGAUGGAUCCGCGCCGCAUUAGCUAGUUGGUAAGGUAACGGCUUACCAAGGCGACGAUGCGUAGCCGACCUGAGAGGGUGAUCGGCCACACUGGAACUGAGACACGGUCCAGACUCCUACGGGAGGCAGCAGUAGGGAAUCUUCCGCAAUGGGCGAAAGCCUGACGGAGCAACGCCGCGUGAGUGAUGAAGGUCUUCGGAUCGUAAAACUCUGUUAUUAGGGAAGAACAAAUGUGUAAGUAACUAUGCACGUCUUGACGGUACCUAAUCAGAAAGCCGCGGCUAACUACGUG
rnacentral:rRNA from 1 species